UGAACUGAAAACUUUGAUUCUACACUUGCUUGUUUUUGCGAAGAGAAAAGCUGAAUAUGGAUUGUUUUUCUGAGAGGUGCCUCCAACACAACUCCCAUCUGUGCAUCUGUGUGUGAAGUCCUCAAACCCUGGAGUGUUCUGGUUUGCAGUGGGACAAGGGGCAGAUCUGGCCUGAGCUGAACACUGGUCAUCAAGGACAUAGUUUCAGAUUGGAUUUGUGCUAUGCUUUGAAAGAUUUCCUUGGUUAUCCCUCAACUUUUCUAUAUGCAGUCUUUCUGAUAGCAAAAAUGUUUCUCAGUAGGAACGUGAACAUGGAAGAAGAGCCUGGCAUGGAAAACCACUGAGUUCUGACACAUUCCAUUUGCUCCUAACUCUUUGAUUUCUACUCACAGAAUCUGACAUAUGUUGGGCAUUGACCUUGCUCUUUCAAAUAAGCUUAUUUUAGAAGACCUUUGCAAAAUGCUGUCUGUUUGGCCUCGAUGUAAGCUGUGAGAGAAAUGUAGUACAAACACAGAAGUUGUAUGUUUUGAAUGCCAGAGAUGUUACACCAAAGAGCAGUUGGUGUGAUCUAUACUGCUGAAUGCUUUCUGUGCUGAUAG